UUCUUUGCAAGUACAAAUUAAAUAUAUAAAUGUUUAUAGAAUAAAUCUGAGGUUUACCCUUCUUCUUAAAGACAAAGCCUCAUUUAGGCUUAUAUUAGGAUUUUUGUGAACCAAGUUUCAGAAAGAUUAACUACUUAUAUUACUGCUGCUAAGAGAAUCUAAAAAAUACUGUUAUUAUUAUAUGUUACAACAUCACCGUUAUUAGAAACUUUAAAAAUAUAUAUUUAUAAUAGACUUCAAGUUAAGGUUAAGUAUGGUUAUAUAUAUCAUUGGUAGACAAGGACAAGAUGUAAAGACUUGGGAUUGAAAGUCGAUUACGACUGGGGUCAUAAACUGUGAUGAUAUCUAGAAACCAUUCUCUGCAGAAUUACAUAUGCUGCAUGCCAUUACAAAUCUAAGUACUAAAGAAAGGCGACUUAAGUAGGCAAGAAGCAAGCUAGUUGAUGAUAAUAAUCAAUGGACAUCGGGGUGCCAUUCAUUGUUUCCUAUACUCUGCUGGGCUUCUUGGUCCUUUCAAUAUUUGUCCUGGCGUUCUGCUUGAAAGACUACUAUUUCAUAUAUGACCAUCGUCUCCUGUUUGUGAUUGGUUUGGUUUUUAGUCGUUCCUUAACGUACCAUGCGGUUACAAAUGUAAUUAUGUGGUAUGUUACGUACAAUAUGGAUGGUGGUUUUGUGAGAUCUGCGGUUUUAUCAAACAUCCAAGACUCCUUAUCAUCACUUUUCGUGAUAUUCAUGGCUCACUCAGCUGAUUCAUUUGUUGGAAGAUUCCGAACACUUUUAUUUUCAAACACUGCAUAUAUCAGCGGUGUAUUGAUUUUAUGGAUAUUCAAUCCUUAUGAUGUGACAUGGCUUAUUGUCGUGGCGUUGGUUCUCCAGGCUCUUGGAAAAUCAGGGGACGCUAUUUUAAAACACGUACUUAUUGAUUUGGUAGAUGGAAUUGAUACAUCAGCAGAUCGAACUAAAAAACGUUCUCUUACACGUGGAACAAUCUGGUGGCGCAUAGCACAUGCAUUUGGUGCGAUUGCUUCAAUAUUGUGGGUUGCCCCAGACGCUUUUGGGGGCGUUCAACCAACCUGGAGAACUACAUUCUUGAUUUGUCUUAUUUCCAUGAUAGCAGCCUUGAUUAUUUUUUGUACAGGACAUAAGGUGUAUCAUCAACGUGAGUUAACUCAAAGACCCGUUGAAAUAUUCUUCAGAGUGUUUCGUGCCAAAGUACAAAAGCUACUCAAGUCCAAGUCAAGAUGUUCCAUGAAUAGUUCAGAACAAGAAAGACUACCAGAAACUAGAAGGCAAGAAAAUGAUGGGAUUGCACUAAAUAGAUCUCCACCGCAUUUAGAUACAAAUGGGAAAAAAUACAGAGGAAAUAGUUCUUACAAAGAGGAUAUAAAGGUGGUACGAAGCCUCUUAAGGAUGUUUCCCAUGUGGGGAACGUUAAUCGUGGUCUCCUUAGUAUCAGCAGCCGGGAGUACUUUCUAUAUUGAACAAUUCAGCAAUCUUAAAGGUAAUGAGGAAAUUCCCGCCCAGAUGUUCGAUGUGAUUCAAGAUAUUUCAGGCUUCGCUAUCCUAAUUAUAUAUAGUUGGACUCCUUUCUCCAAAAAUGAGAAGCUUAAAAUUGGUGUUGGAAUGUUUUGUUCUGUCAUAUCUUGCGUUUGUGCAUGGAGAUUAGAGGUUUCCAGGUUGAAAGCAGUCAUCGAGCAGGGUGAUGAUGAUGAUGACACGUCCAUUAGUUUUCUUUGGUUAGUGCCUCAAUUCAGCAUCCUUGGAUGCAUGGAAUGGCUUGCUGAGGAAGGGUCGUUAAACUUUUUUAAGUCACAAAUAGAAGAACCCAUCAAGAGUUACCGUGAGGAGUAUAUGGAAGUUGUGAUGUGCCUUGGAAUAUUGGUUAACACUUUUCUCAUUUUAAUACUCAAAACCCAAGGGUGGUUUGGAUACGAUGUCAACAAUGGUACUCGUCUGGACAAGUAUUAUCGACUUUUGGUUUAUCUAUGCUCGGUUAACUUGAUAAUCUACUAUUGCAUUGCGAAAUGUUUCUACAAGGAGACUGAACAGGAACGCCACUCUGCUCAUGGUAACUUGCAACUAAGUGAAAGCACUGAUCAUGCUACUACUGGGAACAGUUAUAGGAGGAAACGUUUUCUUGUUUUGUUAUCACGUCAAGUUUCUUUUGUGUUUGAUACUCUAUUUUGAAUCAUGUUAUUCGUUGUAGUAUUUUCAGGUAAAAAAGAAUAUUAUUUGUACUUACUAGUCGUCACAAAUGGAGCUGAAACAAUUCCAGGAAGACGCGAGUGGGAAAAUCGAAGCUAGAUCGAUUGUGAAGCUUGGAUCUAUGUUGUUCACGCUGAGAUUCACGUUUUGAGGCGGGGUCUAGACCAGAUUUUACCGAGUUCGAGAUUUACCGAGUUACCCGAGGUACCAGUGAGGAUCACGGGAAGGCGCCGGCAUGAUCAGUACACACAUGAGGAGCUUUUAUACAUUAUGAUCUUGGGGUUGUGUUUCUAUGGAUUGAUAUGUGAUACAAUGACAUUUUUAUAAUAUUUAUGAAUGAAAGUAUGUUUUGAAAAUGUAAAAAUUUGUUUCAAAAUU